GACCUUUUCCUUGACGACCCACCAUCAUUUGACUUCUUCCACUACCUUCGUACCAAUCCAUGGCUUCCUUCAUCCUUCAUCUUUGACAUCACAACAGGUUUGUGGUAGUAUGCACUAGAUAGGUCAAAACCAUCAUUCCAUCUUCCUCGGUUCUUCUUUUAUUAGGCACUAGACAACUUCAUAUUCAUUAUAGAUGAGACAUGAUUUUAACUUAAAUAUAUCUAUAUAUCUAUGUGUAUAUAUAUAUAUAUAUAUGUUCAUAUGUUGAUAAAUAAAUAUAGUUCUCCUUAUAUAAUAUUAUAAAUAAAAAAAUAUAGGAAUAAAAACAUAGAAAUAAAGUAAGAUGGUUGACAAAGUUAUUAAAACAGUGUAAAU
rnacentral:lncRNA from 1 species